AAUGAUAUGCCUGAAAUAAAGGAUUAUUUUGAUAGAAUAAAUCAUACAUUAUUAUUA
rnacentral:tRNA from 1 species